CACUUGCACUUAAUUACGUUUACAUGAUAAAGAAGAAACGUUAAGGCAUGUUUCUUAACUAUGGCAAUAAACGAAGUGCAGAAUAAGCGUAGUGGACCCGGGGGCAGUACCCGGCGUCUCCACCAAGAUGUCCAAUAUCUAGAAUGAAAAUAUCUAGUGUAUGUUGUUUUUGGUUUAACUGAGGGGACGAAACAGGAUCGACACGCGUAGUAAAGGCAUUUCUUUUGCUCGGUAUUGUACCACCGUUAUCGGGCUAAUUUUACAAGUGCCAACGAUGAUUCUGAGGUGCUCGCUGUCGCAGCAUAAGCGAUAAGCGCGGUUUGGAAAGCACCGGGCAACAGAAGCUUUCCACA
rnacentral:tmRNA from 1 species